AACUAACGCUGGCGGCGUGCCUAACACAUGCAAGUCGUACGAGAAAGCCGGCUUCGGCUGGUGAGUAAAGUGGCGCACGGGUGAGUAACGCGUGGAUAAUCUGCCCUUAAGUGUGGAAUAACGUACCGAAAGGUGCGCUAAUACCGCAUAAUGCCUGGCAACACAAGUUGUCCGGCCAAAGAAGGCCUCUGUUUACAAGCUUUCGCUUCAGGAUGAGUCCGCGUACCAUUAGCUUGUUGGUGGGGUAAUGGCCUACCAAGGCUGCGAUGGUUAGCUGGUCUGAGAGGAUGAUCAGCCACACUGGAACUGAGACACGGGUCCAGACUCCUACGGGAGGCAGCAGUGAGGAAUAUUGCGCAAUGGGGCAACCCUGACGCAGCAACGCCGCGUGAGUGAGGAAGGUUUUCGGACUGUAAAGCUCUGUCGAGCGGGAAGAAGUGUACCAUGGCUAAUAUCCAUGAUAUUUGACGGUACCGCUAGAGG
rnacentral:rRNA from 1 species